rnacentral:tRNA from 5 species
GGGCUGAUAGAUCAGCGGAAGAUCGCCGCCUUCGCAAGGCGGAGGCCGCGGGUUCAAAUCCCGCUCAGUCCA